rnacentral:rRNA from 1 species
UACGAAGGGUGCAAGCGUUACUCGGAAUUACUGGGCGUAAAGCGUGCGUAGGUGGUUCGUUAAGUCUGAUGUGAAAGCCCUGGGCUCAACCUGGGAAUGGCAUUUGGGACUGCAAGGCUUGAGUGCGGCAGAGGAGACUGGAAUUCCUGGUGUAGCAGUGAAAUGCGUAGAUAUCAGGAGGAAUACCGAUGGCGAAGGCAGGUCUCUGGGCUGACACUGACGCUCAUGCACGAAAGCGUGGGGAGCAAACAGG